rnacentral:rRNA from 1 species
UACGGAGGAUCCAAGCGUUAUCCGGAUUCAUUGGGUUUAAAGGGUGCGUAGGCGGAAUGAUAAGUCAGUGGUGAAAUCUCUCGGCUUAACCGAGAAACUGCCAUUGAUACUGUCAAUCUUGAGUACAUUUGAUGUGGGCGGAAUGUGUCAUGUAGCGGUGAAAUGCUUAGAUAUGACACAGAACACCGAUUGCGAAGGCAGCUCACAAAACUGUAACUGACGCUGAGGCACGAAAGCGUGGGUAUCAAACGGG